rnacentral:rRNA from 1 species
CCUACGGGUGGCAGCAGUAGGGAAUAUUGCUCAAUGGGCGAAAGCCUGAAGCAGCAACGCCGCGUGAAGGAUGAAGGUUUUCGGAUUGUAAACUCCUUUUGUUAGAGAAGAUAAUGACGGGGUCUAACUUAUAACCACCAGCUAUCUCCGUGCCAGCAGCCCCGGUAAUACGCAGGGUGCAAGCGCUCGGCGGAAUUACGGGGGGUAAAGAGCGCGCAGGUGGGAAAGCAAGUCAGAUGUGAAAUCCUACGGCUUAACCAUAGAACUGCAUUUGAAACUGUUAUUCUAGAGUGUGGGAGAGGUAGGUGGAAUUCCUGGUGUAGCGGUGAAAUGCGUAGAGAUAAGGAAGAAUACCAGUGGCGAAGGCG